rnacentral:rRNA from 1 species
AUGGAGUUAAAUGGUCCUCCAUUUGGUCAACCAACACCUUCAACACAAGUGCCCACACAAGAUGAUUUUGAUGAUAUAGACAAGCUCACAUUGCUUAGUCUUGAGUUCACUUGGAGUGCUGAAGAUGAUCCAAUGAGGCCGGUGAUACUAGAGGAAAUGAAGAAGAUCAAGAGUGGAAAAGAGCCAGUGGAAGAAGUAAGGAAGAUUGAGAAGAACAUCAACGCUGGCAGUACUAUCUCCUCCCUCCUUGAGCCGAGUGUUGCCGAGAUUCCCCUUGAUACAUGUGAGGUUCCAAUACCGUCACAUCCAGCUGAGCAAGAUAGUAAGAGUCCAGAGGAAGAAAGACCUCAGAUUGAAGAAGAAAUACUUGAAGACAAGGAACAAGAUGAUCCAGAGCUCGAACAACAAAGUGAUCAAGUUGAAGACUCAUCAUCUAUUACUCUUGAAGAAUUAUUUUCCUUAUGCUAG